rnacentral:rRNA from 1 species
UACGGAGGGAGCUAGCGUUGUUCGGAAUUACUGGGCGUAAAGCGCACGUAGGCGGCUUUGUAAGUUAGAGGUGAAAGCCCGGGGCUCAACCCCGGAAUUGCCUUUAAGACUGCAUCGCUUGAAUCCGGGAGAGGUGAGUGGAAUUCCGAGUGUAGAGGUGAAAUUCGUAGAUAUUCGGAGGAACACCAGUGGCGAAGGCGGCUCACUGGUCCAUUACUGACGCUGAGGUGCGAAAGCGUGGGGAGCAAACAGG